UUUCUUCGAUGGUAACUCUACUCGGAUAACCGUAGUAAUUCUAGAGCUAAUACGUGCCACAAGGCGACUUUUGUCGUGGUAUAAAUUGGAGAUACAAACCAAUAUUUGGUGAUUCACGAUUUCUUUUCUGAUCGCACUAUGUGCGACGCAUCGUUCAAAUUUCUGACCUAUCAACUUUGGAUGGUAAGGUAUUGUCUUACCAUGGUUGUGACGGGUAACGGACCGUGGGUGCGGGACUCCGGAGAGGGAGCCUGAGAAACGGCUACCACAUCCAAGGAAGGCAGCAGGCGCGCAAAUUACCCAAUCCGGACACCGGGAGGUAGUGACAAGAAAUAGCAAUAGAGGGCCCGAUGGGUUUUCUAAUUGGAAUGAGAACAAGGUAAACAGCUUAUCGAGGAGCCAGCAGAGGGCAAGUCUGGUGCCAGCAGCCGCGGUAAUUCCAGCUCUGUAAGCGUAUACCAAAGUUGUUGCAGUUAAAACGCUCGUAGUCGGAACUUGGCGGGCGACGCAGGGCGUCUUUGCGGACGGAUCUGUAUCGGCCGCCUUUGUGGAGGGGGGCUUAGCGGUGCUUUAUUGCCUUGCUAAGUCGCUGCCACCGUUUACUGUGAAAAAAUUGGAGUGUUCAAAGCAGGCGUUUGCCUUGUACACAUUAGCAUGGAAUAAUAGAAUAGGACCUGGUUCUGUUUUGUUGGUUUGUGAGAAUUAGGUAAUGAUUAAGAGGGACGGUUGGGGGCAUUUGUAUUCUGCCGUCAGAGGUGAAAUUCUUAGAUUGGCGGAAGACAAACAGCUGCGAAAGCGUCUGCCAAGGACGUUUUCAUUGAUCAAGAACGAAAGUAAGGGGAUCGAAGACGAUCAGAUACCGUCGUAGUCUUUACUAUAAACGAUGAGGACUGGGGAUCGGGCGGCGCUGCUUUAUGGCCCGCCCGGCACCCUUCGGGAAACCAAAGUGUUUGCUUUCUGGGGGGAGUAUGGUCGCAAGGCUGAAACUUAAAGGAAUUGACGGAAGGGCAUCACCGGGUGUGGAGCCUGCGGCUUAAUUUGACUCAACACGGGGAAACUUACCAGGUCCGGACAUAGUGAGGAUUGACAGAUUGAGAGCUCUUUCUUGAUUCUAUGGUUGGUGGUGCAUGGCCGUUCUUAGUUGGUGGAGUGAUCUGUCUGGUUAAUUCCGUUAACGAGCGAGACCUGGGCGUGCUAGCUAGGCGCCGUUACCUCUUUCGGUAGCGAGGCUUGCCUUCCUAGACGGACUGCGGGCGUCUAGUCCGCGGAAGCUCCAGGCAAUAACAGGUCUGAGAUGCCCUUAGAUGUUCUGGGCCGCACGCGUGCUACACUGAGCGGGUCAACGGGUGAGGAUAGGCGAGAGCCUUUCCUAAUCUCUAAAUCCGCUCGUGCUGGGGAUCGAGGCUUGCA
rnacentral:rRNA from 1 species